AGUGAACGCUGGCGGUAGGCCUAACACAUGCAAGUCGAACGGCAGCACAGUAAGAGCUUGCUCGUACGGGUGGCGCGUGGCGGACGGGUGAGGAAUACAUCGGAAUAUACUCUUUCGUGGGGGACAACGUAGGGUAACUUACGCUAAUACCGCAUACGUCCUACGGGUGAAAUCAGGGGAUCUUCGGACCUUUCGCGAUUGUAUGAGCCGACGUCGGAUUAGCUAGUUGGCGGGGUAAAGGCCCACCAAGGCGACGAUCCGUUUCUGGUCUGAGACGAAGAACAGCCACGCUAGAGCUGAAACACGGACCAGACUCCUACGGGAGUAAGCAGUGGGGAAUAUUGGACAAUGGGCGCAAGCCUGUUCCAGCCAUACCGCGUGGGUGAAGAAGGCCUUCGGGUUGUAGAGCCCUUUUGUUGGGAAAGAAAAGCAGCAGGUUAAUACCCCGCUGUUCUGACGGUACCCAAAGAAUAAGCUCCGGCUAACUUCGUG
rnacentral:rRNA from 1 species